rnacentral:ribozyme from 1 species
AAGAGAAGAAAGAAGAGGAGAAGAAGGAAUGAUUUUUUUUUGUGGUAUAAUUAUAUGCUUUUUAUUUGGCUAAUUCCUUUUUCCCUUUUACUUCUUUC